rnacentral:rRNA from 1 species
UGGGGAAUAUUGGGCAAUGGGCGCAAGCCUGACCCAGCAACGCCGCGUGAGGGAAGAAGGUCUUCGGAUUGUAAACCUCUGUCCUUGGGGACGAAAAAAAUGACGGUACCCACGGAGGAAGCUCCGGCUAACUACGUGCCAGCAGCCGCGGUAAUACGUAGGGAGCGAGCGUUGUCCGGAAUUACUGGGCGUAAAGGGUGCGUAGGCGGCAUGGAAAGUCAGAUGUGAAAUCCCCGGGCUUAACUCGGGGGGUGCAUUUGAAACUGCUGUGCUUGAGGGCAGGAGAGGAAAGCGGAAUUCCUAGUGUAGCGGUGAAAUGCGUAGAUAUUAGGAGGAACACCAGUGGCGAAGGCGGCUUUCUGGACUGUAACUGACGCUGAGGCACGAAAGCGUGGGGAGCAAACA